ensembl:lncRNA
CACUUGCUUCUGAGUCCAAGAGACUUCCCUCCUGAGGGUCAUUCCAGAACGAACCUCGUCAGAGAUUUGGGUAGUAGCUGGGGCAGAUGUUUUGUUUUGGGUUUUGUUCUGUAGGCUGCACUUUGUUUUAUAAUCUCUUAGAGGGAAGUGUCUGAAAGAAAGGGCUUCAAGUGUUCUUUUUGCUUCUGUGAUAGCAGACUACUCAGAACUGCUGAACCAAAUCCGCUUGCUGCUCAAGGUAAGCAGUUCUUUGGAUGGUAACGAAAAAAUACUAGGCUGAUAGGGAUGACUUUAUGGGAGAGGACAUACAAUGUUGGUUUGGGGUGACAAUUAGGGAUGAAGGGAAGGAUGAUGGAACUGAGUCAUUGAGAAUGCUUGCAACACGGUAGAUACUCGAUAAAUGUCAGCUGAGACUUAAGUUGCUUUGGUAAUAUUCAUAGCUAGUCUUUAUAUAACGAGCAAUUUCAUAAACAUUGUUUAAUUGAUUACCAUUUGAGAGGUAGCUGAGAGGUAUUAUUUUUCCUAUCUUUUGAUUCCCAAAUUAGAAAAUUUAAAAUUACAUGUAAGUUUCCCGUUAUGUUUCUACUGGACAGUGCUAUUUUAGACUGUGCUGGAAAUAUUUCUUUCCUAGGAUUAGGAUUGUCUUUUAGGGUGUUUUAGGGUAUUUUCUUCAUAAGAGGGAGAAAAGCUAUGUAACCAUGGGUCACACCAGUAGUAUCUUCAAAUACUUUGAAGGCAUGUGAGAUACCCAACCUUGUCUAACACAUUUUGUCAAUGAAAUUGAAGUGAAAUGAUUGUGUCUUAAUUAUGUAUAGAUUCUCUCUUGCCAGCAUUUGUUGAAACAACACAGAGGAAAAGAGGUAAAAGAUCACAGUGUCAAAAAGCGAAAUGGAAGAAUUGCAAGAUUAUCAAUGCUUUAAUGAUUAUAGCUAGAAACGGGGAUGUUCAAGAAAGUGACAAAUGAGCUCUGUGUUUUUUAAUGUGGGAGACUUGGUUGAUACGGUAUUCUAAUUAGUUCUCUAUGUCCCAGAUACUGGCUAGAAAUUAGUACAUUUCUUUUGCGACCUUUAUAUUUGAUAUAUAACAAAUUACUUUGUCAAUUAAAAAAAUGAAGUUGACAUAUGCAUUAGCCCAUAUAUCUAAUUUAUCAUGGUGUUGGCAAUAAGUAAUCCAUCCAUUUAAUUAUUUAUUCAUUAAGAAAGCUCAAGAAACUCCAUACACCUUUAUUCCUUUUAACACAAUAUCCAUUUUCAGAGACUCCACAUCCAAUUUCCUGUUCCCCUGUGUGUCUUGGGGUCAGGCCAAGGCUUCAGGGGGACAAGUGAGAGCCCCUGGCUCCUCAGAGUUCAGCCCAAGGUCUGGGUGGCUCCUCAGCAGACAGCCUGGGGCUCCUUCCGUGGGGCAUGAGUCCCUCCGUGGCCGUGAGUUGGGUGAGGAGGAGCCUUAACCUCUGGCCGGCCCUGUCUCUUCUGCUGCCCCGGCCUUGGCCUUACAGCUACGCAGCCCUCUCCUGGUUCUCCCACUGGAUCAUCUGGUUGUACUGUCAGUUCUCCAGGUAGGUGGUCAGCUCCAUGUCCUGAGCCUUCGCAGCCUGUUACUGGGGAGUGUCACCUGUUGGUCUGUCUUCAGGAGCGAGAUCCCCGCCUCCAUGAUGUUGUGGCAGAUGGUGUGCUGGCCCAGGGACUCCGCCUGGUCCAGACAGCUCUCCCAGUUUUCCUCCUCAGCAUCAGGCAUCUCUGGGACUGGUGGUCCAGCAGGUACUGGAUCACUUCUUUGCUGCGUGUGCUGACCGUGCGGUGCCUGAGGUCACUCCCAGCUGGGUGCAGCUCCUGGAGCUUACGGAAGUCAUUCCUUUUGGCCGCCUCAAUCAGCUCUUCACCUUUAGGGGGUGUAGCAUCCGCUGGCAGUGACUGGGGCAUGGGCGAGCAGGAUGAGGUGGGAGAGCGGAAGUGGGGAUUGGAGGUCAGGCCAGCAAAUGCCCCCAGCAGCUCUGGGUCUAGGAUAUAAAUCUCAUCCAGUGAGAUCUCAGUCACACAGUUGAGAUGUUCCUGGGCCUGGUUCAUCCUGUAGAAGGAGGUGGUAGUGGUGGCAUCCAGGAAGCACCACUUGGGGGACAGUUUCUGGCACACUGGGGACUUGGCUUCAGCACAUUUGGGCUCCUGCUGGAGCCUCUCAGUGUGGGUGGACAAAGCUCUACGUUGCUGUCUCCUGGGAUCACCACAGUGCCCAAUGACACAGAGGACUCUAAGCGGCUCCUUGUAAUGCAAGGCCUCAUAGUCGUGCAUGCUGACUCUGCUUACAUGGAUCAGCGGUUGCUCAACGUGGUACUGCUCAGCCCUGGAAGGCACGCCACCACUCAGCCUUCUGCACCCUGGUGACCUGGUUGUGCAUGGUGAUGCAAAUGCGUGAGGCUGUGAGUUGCAGGGCUGGCCAUCCACAUGCACCUGCACCGGGAUGGCCUUGGAUGUGGUGAGCACCACCUUGCGGCACUGCGUCAGCCACUCACUGAGCCCACCCACCUGCAGCCCAGCCAGGGACAUCAUGGUGAAGCCAAUGACCCCUCGGUAGCCAUCGCCAUGCAGCUGGGGUGGGAAGAGAUGGUGCUCCGCAGGGUGGCCCCAGGGCGUGGUUCCUGUGCAGUACCUGGGAAUGUUCAGGAAAACAGUGCACUGGGGCUUCAGCUUUUGAGCACCAAAUUCUUCUGAAAGACCCCACAUGGCCAAAGAGUAAGCACCCAGAUCCUCACUUUGUUUUCGAUGUGCAGGCACAGCCCAUUAAGGAGAGAGAGCAUUCAAAACCAACUUCUUGAAGGAACUUUGAAAUUCGAAGGAAUUCUAACUGAGAUGAACAUUUUUCCUUCCUUGUAAACUCUUUAUACUAAGGUCAUAUAGCUCAUGGCCACAAUCAGUAAGUUUUUCUAAAGGAUCUUGAGCCCACCCAGUAUAACGUCUCUACAUGCAUCCGGUCAGCCCUUCUGAGGAGCACCGGUAAUCGACUUUCUACCUCUGCUGAGUCAAGAGAAUUUACAGCAGGGUCCAAGUAGCUCCUGAUCUACAUUUCAUGUCAUCAGAAGAGAUGUGAGCUGCAGCAGCAGUGUGUCAAAUGUCACAGUGAAAUAGAAGGGUAAAUGUCACCCACCCACGCUGGGCCUCUUGAACUAACUUCCUUAGGUCACCUACGUUACUAAAUCCAAUGGGCUUUUUUCAUUGUCUUACUUGACUUUCCUCCUACAUUUGACAGUGUUUGCCUCUCUCUUCCUUGAAGCCUUUCUCUCCUCUCUGGAUGCUCCUUCUUGGAAUCCUCUGUAGACUCUCCUUCCACCAAUCAGCCCUAAGUGUUGGUGUUUCCCAGGUUCUAACCUUCAUCUUCUUCUCUUCUCACUGUGCAUAAUUUCCACAUAAGCUCACACGAGGAGGAGAUGCAUCCUAACUCUUUAUUUCUAGCUUAGAGUCCUCUCCCAAGUUCUAGAUAAAAAUAUAUAUAUAUAUAUAUUUAUAUAAUUGCCAACUGAAUAUCCGUACCUUCAUAUACUCUAGGAUCCCAAAUUCAAAAGGUCAUACUGAAGUCACCUUCCUUCUAUUCCUUCCCUCUCUUUCUCUCUUUCUAUUCCUUCCUUGGUGAAUGGCAUCAUGAUCCAUCCAAUUUCCCAAGAGGAAAUCUACGAUGACUCUUGACUUCUCGGUGACUUCCCACAUGCAUUCAGUCAGCAAGUUAAUUCCAGUGCCUUCAAAAAUCCCUAAAUUAGAGGGGCUGACCCCGUGCCUGAGUGGUUAAGUUCACGUGCUCCACUGCAGGCAGCCCGGUGUUUCGUUGGUUCUAAUCCUGGGUGCAGACAUGGCACUGCUCAUCAAACCACGCUGAGGCAGCGUCCCACAUGCCACAACUAGAAGGACCCACAAUGAAGAAUAUACAACUAUGUACCAGGGGGCUUUGGGGAGAAAAAGGAAAAAAAUAAAAUCUUUAAAAAAAAAAAAUCCCUAAAUUUGAGAGCAAGUAAUGAGUGGUUGAGAAACACCUAAGGGAAUUGACUUAUAUUAUUCUCGCUCAGAGGCCUAAUCAUGGUGUAUGUUAUAAUUUUGGAGUAAAAAUGAGGCAUUUCAUGCAUGCAGCCUAACUUCACCCUCACUCCUCACCUCCAAGCUCCAAUCUCUUCACACUGUCAUCUGAGUGUAGUUUCUGAAACUGAAAUUUGAUUAUGUUACUCUGCUGCUUAAAGCCUGAUUAUUUUCGGGAAAUAAUCCAAACUCUUUAACAAGUCUUCUAUGAGCUGGCCUGGCCUUGCCUCCUUCUUUAGUCCCAUCUUUGACCAUUCAAAUUCUCUCCAUCUCUGGGAAUUAUCUAGUAUUCUACUUCUGAUCUUUCUCUUAUCUCUGUGCUUUCAACAUGCCUCCCACUUGCAUCCCUGGCUUUGGUAAGAAUAACUCCUACUCUUCCUUUAAAAUUAUCCUCAGGAGUCCUAGUCUUUGGGAAUUCUUCCCUGACUCUCUUGCCUUGAGGCUCCUCGAUUCAUGAACCCACUGAGGCAAUCCCUGUAUCUUCAGUACCAGCAGAGCAACACAAGACACGUAAUAAGUCGUCAGUAAACGUUUACUGAAGGAGCCAAUGGUGGCCAGCCUAUGCGGACUUACAGUGCCUGGAAAUGGAGUGGAGAAGAAAUAAGAGAUCUGAGAAAAAUAACCAUUUCCCUUUUUUGCACUAAUUAGGAAUUUGGGAAGUGUUCUCUAUUCUUUUCUGCAAAAUACCUUGAAGGCACUGCCUAGUCUUGUGUUCUAUCAGUUCUAGAGGAGAGUUCAGGGGAAUGACUUGCUUUGAGGAGUUACUCUGGGUGGACUGAAGCUCCAGUUAUCUCUGGGACUCUUGGAAUUCACUCUGGGCUGAAUCCUGUUUCUUAACUUUGUCCUGACAUGAUCCACUUCCUCCAGGACUCGCUUGUGGUCAACCUAGGACUAAGGUUCAGGAAUGCCCAGAUCUAUUCAACUGUCAUUCUUUAGGCGUGCCAUCUAGGUUCAGAUCUAGGGUGUGUAUGUGUGUUUACAUGGAGAGAGAGGGAGAACAGGGAGACAGAGAGAGGGGGGACAGAGAGAGAGGCAGAGAUAGCUUAAUAUCAUUUUUCAUUCUCAUGCUCUCUCCUUCACUCACUCUGUUUUCUUGGUGUUUGGAAAAGAAUUGGGGUGGGGCAGGGGCAGGGGUGGAGAAUUCCAGAUGCCUUAAUAUAAAGUUUGAAGCUUCAUCCACCCAAGUUAAACAGAGCUAUUUAGAAAUGUACUUUAUUUGUAUUCUGUGUGGCUUACCUUUGGUUUUAGAGUUUAGUUUCCAGUUCAGAUUUCAGCAGAAUUUAGGCAAAAGCAGAACAGACAUGUAUUUUUGUUUGCUAAAUGUAGAAUGGAUGAAACCAUUGCAUUCUUGUAGACUAAUUGGAAAUGCUGUAAAUAUGUUCUGAUUUGUAUUGAUUCUCUUUAAAUAUAAAGUGUUCAAUCAUAUUUAUUGCACAUAUUUAAUCCACACAAAAGUUUUAGACUAAGGUUUAGAAUACUGAAGUAGUUUGCUUGAUCACACAGCUAAUAAAUGGCAGAAGUGUAUCGAAAUUUGGGUCCUUGUAACUCUAAACAAGUCUUCGUAAGUUGUAUGAGCUUUUAGGUUAAACUGCUUGUAAAAAUCCAACUUGAAAAUAAUUGCUUUAUGGAUGCCACUUUCUUCUUUUUCCUUUUACGUGGAAAUGGAUAGUGAAACCAAUGACCAGCGUCAUGUGUUGUUAUGGAAUAAAUGGAUGUCAUGUUAGGUUUCCUAUCUGGAAGCUGGAUGCAGCCUUAAGCUGGGACUAACUCACUCUCAUCAAUCAACUCUUGGAGAACAGAGACUAUAUACUUUAUUUUAUUUUUUUCGGAACCAAAUCUGAUUAACAAAUAUUGGCUCUCAACGAGAGGUUUCUGCUAUUAAUUCAUAAUUAAAAUGAUGAUCCUCCUCACCCCUUCUAUUCUUUUUUCCCCAAUCCCUCUUAUUUUCUUAUUCUUUUUAUCUUGCCGAAAUUGUCUGAUGGAAAAUUGUUUUGGAGGGAAUAAAAACUGGUCAAAAAA